GGUAUCUGUGCUAUGGCAGAACUGGCAGCACUGAGAAGCUGGGACCCACAAUCAUGUUGGGCACCUCUUGACCAAGAGAACUGGCACCACAUCACUGUGAAUCUCAGCAUUUCAGGUUCCUCUCCUGAACUCAAUGGGAAGCUCAUAACUGAGAAGUUGGCUUGGGCGUGAUAUUCCUCAAAAGCAUUUGUUAUGAGGGUGUGAAAUAUUUGGCAAGUUUUAAGGACAACAGACGCAGAUUGUUGGAAUUUGUCAGAGCUGAAGUCAUCAACGUCUUCAACAUUUUUGCUGCACAGAAAGAGGGUCUCAUCUUCAGGCAAACCAGAGCACACAGCCUGCUCCAGAGGGAUCGGAUUCCAAAGCCUCCAAGAGCAACAUCAGCCUUCGUGAAUAGGGACCACCUGCACCGGCCUGGCACCAGCAGUGCCUCUGCCUGCUCUGAGAGCAGCCUGGGCAUGUCCUGCUCUGUGGGGACAGUGUCUGGUCCCUGCAGCACCUGCCUGGGGACCUGCAAGGGACAACUCAGAAGCACAACGCACCAGGGCUUGUGCAGGACCAGCACAUGUGAGUGAAACAGAAGAUGCAUUGGAGCGCUUUGGGCCACUGAAUUACUGCAACAUUCCACCCUCUCCCUGUUUUUCCCCCUCUUGUUCCUACUGCAACCUCUACAAUCAUUAACAUUUUCAUUAGUGUAAAUGAUGGCAUAUUAUGCCCCAAAUCACACCUGUCUGCUUGCCCUGUCUUAAGUUUUCACAGCAUCCCAAACCAGCAUGAUUCCGUUGGUUAAUGUGACAUCCCAGACCUGAGGUGCCGAUGGGGUUUGCAAACAGAGCCCUCCAGGCAGCUCUGUGUAACCACAGGAGCUCACACAGGGGCUGCAUAGGUCCCUGCAGGCAUCCAACAUGCUCAGGCCACAGGCAACAACUAGAAGCUCUGGGAUUUUCUGAACACAAGGGUUUUAGCCAAGUGCUAGUCUGCCAAGAUUGUGAUAACAUGAGGGCUUACUCUAGGCAACUACUCUGCUAGGACACUGCCAACCCAGAUUUACUGGAUUAAUCUGGUGUACAUCAUAUCUUGGCCUAAGCUCCCAGCCACUCCUGCAAGCAGAAAAGCUGCAAGAUUUGCUCUGGGGAGAGACUGAAGUAGACAAGAUCCUGGGUUCAGAUAUCCCAGUUUUUUGAAGCUGGUGUGUCCCAUUAGUUCCUGUCCUACCUGGCACAGUGCAGCUGGGUGGCACUGAGAGGGGUGCCCAGCUCCUGCAGCUCCAGCCUCAUCCAAUGCUGAACUCUGGCUUCCCUUCUGUAACUGAAAAGACAAGAUUUUCUCAUCACAGUGAAGUGAGAAGCUCUUUCCUCUUCAUCUGGUGCCUAGUCAGAAAGCAGCAGCACAAUGUAGGCUGUUAACCUCGCCAAUUUGGGCAGAGCCCAUCAGGUCCACAAGAGUACUGUGAGGCUUUAAUGGCUGAAGUGGUCAUUCCUUCACAGCCAACAUCAAUUUUUAAAAGUGGUGAGAAAGCUUUUGCAAUGCCAGCACCACACCUCCUCCUUGGCCUAGAGCAGCAGGUUUGGUGCCUUGUGAUGCACUUACCUGUUAUGGUGCUGCUGGCAGGGACUGGCAGUGCCCAGCUUGGGCCCAGGAAGGUACAGGCAGCUGCUGGACAUGAACUGUAGCAUCUUGCUCUCCAAACAGCUCAACAGCUCAGGCCCGUGUGUGCUGAGGAGUCUUGACCUGAUUAGCUCUUCCAAAGCACAAAGCUGAACUUGAAUCACAGCAUAGAAUAUUUAUCUUAGAGAAACCCUGAGUAUGAUCCUUCAAGACCUGCCCUAAGAAAGCAAAUAUUGGGGUUCUUUGAAAGUCAGCUUAAAAGAGAGACUGUGGAAACAGCAGUGUUCUGCCAAAAUACACGUGGGCUGUCAAGUUUACAAGAUACUGUUACAACACACAAUAAAAGAAUGAUUUGCUGUGUACAGUAACAA